GUCCCAGUAGCUCAGCUGGAUAGAGCGACAGCCUCCUAAGCUGUAGGUCAUGAGUUCGAAUCUCGUCUGGGACG
rnacentral:tRNA from 4 species